rnacentral:rRNA from 1 species
AACGAACGCUGGCGGCAUGCCUAACACAUGCAAGUCGAACGAAGUCUUCGGACUUAGUGGCGCACGGGUGCGUAACGCGUGGGAAUCUGCCCUUGGGUACGGAAUAACUCAGAGAAAUUUGUGCUAAUACCGUAUAAUGUCUUCGGACCAAAGAUUUAUCGCCCAAGGAUGAGCCCGCGUAAGAUUAGCUAGUUGGUGGGGUAAAAGCCUACCAAGGCGACGAUCUUUAGCUGGUCUGAGAGGAUGAUCAGCCACACUGGGACUGAGACACGGCCCAGACUCCUACGGGAGGCAGCAGUGGGGAAUAGUGGACAAUGGGCGAAAGGCUGAUCCAGCAAGGCCGCGUGAGUGAUGAAGGCCCUAGGGUUGUAAAGCUCUUUUACCAGGGAUGAUAAUGACAGUACCUGGAGAAUAAGCUCCGGCUAACUCCGUG